rnacentral:tRNA from 1 species
GCCGAGGUGGUGGAAUUGGUAGACACGACGGACUUAAAAUCCGUUGGCCGUAACAGGCCGUGCCGGUUCAAGUCCGGCCCCCGGUACCA